CUACGGGGGGCUCCAGUGGGGAAUAUUGGACAAUGGGGGAAACCCUGAUCCAGCAAUGCCGCGUGUGUGAAGAAGGCCUGCGGGUUGUAAAGCACUUUCGGUUGGGAGGACUGCUUCUAGCACUAAUAUUGUUGGAAGUUGACGUUACCUUCAGAAGAAGCACCGGCUAACUCCGUGCCAGCAGCCGCGGUAAUACGGGGGGUGCAAGCGUUAAUCGGAAUUACUGGGCGUAAAGCGCGCGUAGGCGGCUAGAUCAGUCGGGUGUGAAAGCCCCGGGCUUAACCUGGGAACUGCAUCCGAUACUGUCUAGCUUGAGUACAGGAGAGGAGAGUGCAAUUCCAGAUGUAGCGGUGAAAUGCGUAGAUAUGUGGAGGAACACCAAUGGCGAAGGCAGCUCUCUGGCCUGAUACUGACGCUGAGGUGCGAAAGCGUGGGGAGCAAACAGGAUUAGAUACCCCGGUAGUC
rnacentral:rRNA from 1 species